rnacentral:rRNA from 1 species
UACGUAGGGUGCGAGCGUUGUCCGGAAUUAUUGGGCGUAAAGAGCUCGUAGGCGGUCUGUCGCGUCUGCUGUGAAAUCCCGAGGCUCAACCUCGGGCCUGCAGUGGGUACGGGCAGACUAGAGUGCGGUAGGGGAGAUUGGAAUUCCUGGUGUAGCGGUGGAAUGCGCAGAUAUCAGGAGGAACACCGAUGGCGAAGGCAGAUCUCUGGGCUGACACUGACGCUCAUGCACGAAAGCGUGGGGAGCAAACAGG